rnacentral:lncRNA from 1 species
GUAAGAAGUACCUCUAGGCCUGGGAGGCAUUGAGAAAAAGGAAGUGGGUCCUGUUCUGGUUCUUGCGACUGUAGUCACCGCCCGAGGCAAAUGACCACUGUCCUGAGAGGACGUGGAUGAGGGCAGGUACUUUCUCUUUUUUCCACUUUUCGAUGUAAUUUGUUGUUCUUUUCCUUAUUUUCUUAAGUUUUAUGCUGGAUAUAUUUAGGGUUGUAAAGUUUCUUUAAGUACAUCUUUAUCUAUGAAAUGCAUAAGUUCAUCUUGAUGUUUCCCUUUGAUUCUUAGUUAUUUGGGAGAGUUUCUUCAUUCCCAAAUUAUUAAAGUAUGUUUUAGCUGUUUUUUAUUUUAUUGUAUUGUCAGAAAAUGCAGACUAUCAAGUCUCAACUUUCAACAAUUUAUCAAGAUUUUCCUUGAAGCCAAGUUACUCAAUGAACUUUGUUCAACAGAUAUAAGAGAAAAAUUAUAUUUUGUUGUAUGGGCCAAAAUUCUCUUUAAUUAAAUCUUGCUUGUUGCUAUUUUUCAAAUCUUUAUCUUUACUAAUUUUGAUCUACUUGUUUCAUAUUCUGGAAGAGAU